CCUACGGGAGGCAGCAGUGGGGAAUAUUGCACAAUGGGGGAAACCCUGAUGCAGCGACGCCGCGUGGGGGAUGAAGGGUCUCGGAGUGUAAAGCCCUUUUAGCAGGGAAGAAAAUGACGGUAACUUACGAAUAAGCACCGGCUAACUCCGUGCCAGCAGCCGCGGUAAUACGGAGGGGGCAAGCGUUACCCGGAUUCACUGGGCGUAAAGGGGGCGCAGGCGGGGAUGGAAGCCAGGAGUGAAAGCCCGGGGCUCAACCCCGGGACUGCAUUUGGAACUGUGGGGCUAGAGUGGAGGAGAGGUAGGUGGAAUUCCUGGUGUAGCGGUGAAAUGCGUAGAUAUCAGGAGGAAUACCGGUGGCGAAGGCGGCCUACUGGACUGUAACUGACGUUGAGGCACGAAAGCGUGGGGAGCAAACAGGAUUAGAUACCCCUGUAGUC
rnacentral:rRNA from 1 species